CAGUCGCCACGGGAAUACGGAGGGGGCUAGCGUUGUUCGGAAUUACUGGGCGUAAAGCGCACGUAGGCGGCUUGGUAAGUUAGAGGUGAAAGCCCGGAGCUCAACUCCGGAAUUGCCUUUAAGACUGCCGAGCUAGUAGGUGAGAGAGAUAAGUGGAAUUCCGAGUGUAGAGGUGAAAUUCGUAGAUAUUCGGAAGAACACCAGUGGCGAAGGCGGCUUACUGGCUCAUUCUAGACGCUGAGGUGCGAAAGCGUGGGGAGCAAACAGGAUUAGAUACCCCAGUAGUCCCUGUCUCUUAUAC
rnacentral:rRNA from 1 species